AGUACAGCCCUGGAGUCCCCAACAUUACCAAUGACAAGAUAUUGACCCUUCUUGACCAAUGUAACUGCUGUUGUACCGCUGCAAAAGCAAUCAAUAUUUGCAUGUAGUCUCAGUUCCCUGUCCAUGAUUUUGAAAGCCUUGAGAAAUGACUCUUUCAGUGUCUGAAAAAUCUCUGGAUGCUUUUCAGUUUCCUCAAGAUCAACAGAGGCCCUAGAUUCUUCAUCAGCAGAUAUAAAUGCAGUGUCUUCAGAGUUCAUGCUUCCGGUAGUACUAAGGCUAAUCUCUUUGAGAACAUCUUCACUGGUUUUAUUGACUUCCAAGUGAGCACUUAGUUUCAGGGGAAGGUGAU
rnacentral:misc_RNA from 1 species